UACGGAGGGUGCGAGCGUUGUCCGGAAUCAUUGGGCGUAAAGGGCGCGUAGGUGGCCCGGUCAGUUCGUGGUGAAAGCGCGGGGCUCAACCCUGCGUCGGCCAUGAAUACUGCCGCGGCUGGAGCACUGUAGAGGCAGGCGGAAUUCCGGGUGUAGCGGUGGAAUGCGUAGAGAUCCGGAAGAACACCCGUGGCGAAGGCGGCUCUCUGGGACGGUAUUGACGCUGAGACGCGAAAGCGUGGGGAGCGAACAGG
rnacentral:rRNA from 1 species